rnacentral:rRNA from 1 species
AGGGUUCGAUUCUGGCUCAGGAUGAACGCUGGCGGCGUGCUUAACACAUGCAAGUCGAACGGGAUCCCAGGAGCUUGCUCCUGGGUGAGAGUGGCGAACGGGUGAGUAAUGCGUGACCGACCUGCCCCAUACACCGGAAUAGCUCCUGGAAACGGGUGGUAAUGCCGGAUGCUCCAGUUGGAUGCAUGUCCUUCUGGGAAAGAUUCAUCGGUAUGGGAUGGGGUCGCGUCCUAUCAGCUUGAUGGCGGGGUAACGGCCCACCAUGGCUUCGACGGGUAGCCGGCCUGAGAGGGCGACCGGCCACAUUGGGACUGAGAUACGGCCCAGACUCCUACGGGAGGCAGCAGUGGGGAAUAUUGGGCAAUGGGGGAAACCCUGACCCAGCAACGCCGCGUGAAGGAAGAAGGCCUUCGGGUUGUAAACUUCUUUUACCAGGGACGAAGGACGUGACGGUACCUGGAGAAAAAGCAACGGCUAACUACGUGCCAGCAGCCGCGGUAAUACGUAGGUUGCAAGCGUUGUCCGGAUUUACUGGGUGUAAAGGGCGUGUAGGCGGAGAUGCAAGUUGGGAGUGAAAUCCAUGGGCUCAACCCAUGAACUGCUCUCAAAACUGUAUCCCUUGAGUAUCGGAGAGGCAAGCGGAAUUCCUAGUGUAGCGGUGAAAUGCGUAGAUAUUAGGAGGAACACCAGUGGCGAAGGCGGCUUACUGGACGGUAACUGACGUUGAGGCUCGAAAGCGUGGGGAGCAAACAGGAUUAGAUACCCUGGUAGUCCACGCCGUAAACG